rnacentral:rRNA from 1 species
AUAUACGACCGUACCGCAAACCGACACUGGUGCGCGAGAUGAGUAUUCUAAGGCGCUUGAGAGAACUCAGGAGAAGGAACUCGGCAAAUUGACACCGUAACUUCGGAAGAAGGUGUGCCCUAUUAGUGUGUAGUGAACAACGAAGCAUGAAUGGGUUGCAAAAAAUCGGUGGCUGCGACUGUUUAUUAAAACACAGCACUCUGCAAACACGAAAGUGGACGUAUAGGGUGUGACGCCUGCCCGGUGCUGGAAGAUUAAAUGAUGGGGUGCAAGCUCUUGAUUGAAGUCCCAGUAAACGGCGGCCGUAACUAUAACGGUCCUAAGGUAGCGAAAUUCCUUGUCGGGUAAGUUCCGACCUGCACGAAUGGCGUAACGAUGGCCACACUGUCUCCUCCUGAGACUCAGCGAAGUUGAAAUGUUUGUGAUGAUGCAAUCUCCCCGCGGAAAGACGGAAAGACCCCAUGAACCUUUACUGUAGCUUUGUAUUGGACUUUGAACAGAUCUGUGUAGGAUAGGUGGGAGGCUUUGAAGCAGGGUCGCUAGAUCUUGUGGAGCCAACGUUGAAAUUCCACCCUGGUGUGUUUGAGGUUCUAACCUAGGUCCAUUAUCUGGAUCGGGGACAGUGCAUGGUAGGCAGUUUGACUGGGGCGGUCUCCUCCCAAAGCGUAACGGAGGAGUUCGAAGGUACGCUAGUUACGGUCGGACAUCGUGACGAUAGUGCAAUGGCAUAAGCGUGCUUAACUGCGAGACUGACAAGUCUAGCAGAUGCGAAAGCAGGACAUAGUGAUCCGGUGGUUCUGUAUGGAAGGGCAUCGCUCAACGGAUAAAAGGUACUCUGGGGAUAACAGGCUGAUACCGCCCAAGAGUUCAUAUCGACGGCGGUGUUUGGCACCUCGAUGUCGGCUCAUCUCAUCCUGGGGCUGUAGCCGGUCCCAAGGGUAUGGCUGUUCGCCAUUUAAAGAGGUACGUGAGCUGGGUUUAAAACGUCGUGAGACAGUUUGGUCCCUAUCUUCCGUGGGCGCUGCAGAUUUGAGGAAGCCUGCUCCUAGUACGAGAGGACCGGAGUGGACACACCUCUGGUGUAUCGGUUGUCACGCCAGUGGCAUUGCCGAGUAGCUAAGUGUGGGAGAGAUAACCGCUGAAAGCAUCUAAGCGGGAAACUCGUUUCAAGAUGAGAUCUGCCGGGGCCUUGAGCCCCCUAAAGAGUCGUUCAAGACCAGGACGUUGAUAGGUCAGGUGUGGAAGCGAAAAAAAAACAAAA